GACGAACCGAGCGAACGUUGUUCGGAAUCACUGGGCUUAAAGGGCGCGUAGGCGGGUGCUCAAGUCUGUGGUGAAAUCCUCCAGCUUAACUGGAGAACUGCCAUGGAUACUGGGUGUCUCGAGGAAGAUAGGGGUAGUGCGGAACGAUUGGUGGAGCGGUGAAAUGCGUUGAUAUCAAUCGGAACUCCGGUGGCGAAGGCGGCAUACUGGAUCUUAUCUGACGCUGAGGCGCGAAAGCUAGGGGAGCAAACGGG
rnacentral:rRNA from 1 species